AGUGAACGCUGGCGGCAGGCCUAACACAUGCAAGUCGAGCGGCAGCGCGGGGCAACCUGGCGGCGAGCGGCGGACGGGUGAGGAAUUCGUCGGAAUCUGCCUUUUUGUGGGGGAUAACGUAGGGAAACUUACGCUAAUACCGCAUACGACCUACGGGUGAAAGUGGGGGACCGCAAGGCCUCACGCAGAAAGAUGAGCCGACGACCGAUUAGCUAGUUGGUAGGGUAAAGGCCUACCAAGGCGACGAUCGGUAGCUGGUCUGAGAGGACGACCAGCCACACUGGGACUGGGACACGGCCCAGACUCCUACGGGAGGCAGCAGUGGGGAAUUUUGGACAAUGGGCGAAAGCCUGAUCCAGCCAUGCCGCGUGCAGGAUGAAGGCCUUCGGGUUGUAAACUGCUUUUGUACGGAACGAAAAGGACUGCCCUAAUACGGUGGUCCCAUGACGGUACCGUAAGAAUAAGCACCGGCUAACUACGUGCCAGCAGCCGCCGCCGUAA
rnacentral:rRNA from 1 species